rnacentral:rRNA from 1 species
AUGCACGCUGGCGGCGUGCCUAAUACAUGCAAGUCGAGCGAACAGAUGAGGAGCUUGCUCCUCUGACGUUAGCGGCGGACGGGUGAGUAACACGUGGAUAACCUACCUAUAAGACUGGGAUAACUUCGGGAAACCGGAGCUAAUACCGGAUAAUAUAUUGAACCGCAUGGUUCAAUAGUGAAAGACGGUUUUGCUGUCACUUAUAGAUGGAUCCGCGCCGCAUUAGCUAGUUGGUAAGGUAACGGCUUACCAAGGCAACGAUGCGUAGCCGACCUGAGAGGGUGAUCGGCCACACUGGAACUGAGACACGGUCCAGACUCCUACGGGAGGCAGCAGUAGGGAAUCUUCCGCAAUGGGCGAAAGCCUGACGGAGCAACGCCGCGUGAGUGAUGAAGGCCUUCGGAUCGUAAAACUCUGUUAUUAGGGAAGAACAAAUGUGUAAGUAACUAUGCACGUCUUGACGGUACCUAAUCAGAAAGCCACGGCUAACUACGUG